UGCGUGCGUGCGCGCGCUCGCUCCCUCUCCCUCUCUCUGAGACGCAUGCGCGCCCGCACGCGCAAAUCUCUUGAUCAAACUCCGCCGUGUAAAGCUAUUCUCUCGCUAUCUACAGUCGUUAAAUGUUAAAGUGUUUUCCGAAAUGUCCUGCCCGUCCAUGUUUAGUCACAGUGCUCCACCUGCUCUCAGCUGAUAGCGGCGUCUCGCGGUCAUUUCACUUAAAAACAGCGAACAGCGUUCACGUCAAGCAUUAUUUGUUCCUGUUGAAGCGAUCGCUCUGAAAUAUUUAUACACGUCGUUUACACCAGACACACUUCUUGCUCUUAAAGGGGGACAAUAGCGUUUCGCCCUGGCUAUCGUUUUCUGUCACCAGCCAUCUUGUUUUCCUGGGUUUUUAAAGCGGCGUAUGUGUUUUAUUUUCCUUCUCCUCAUGUGGAUACACUCCUUUAUGAAGCUGGAGCCGUCCGAAGCAGAAAUACAGCACUGACUGAGCGAACACCAUGAGCAGCCUUUAAAGUCAGAGUCCAUCAGCGAUCCGCUGGAUCUCCGCCGUAUUCCGGUCUGUAUUCCAUGUUGUUGUUGUUAUCUAGCUAUCUAUAUAUAUAUAUAUUUUUUCCUUUUCUUCCAAGCAAAUCCUCGCUGAGAGGAAGGCAGGCAGGCACAAGACUGCAACUCAGGAUACAGUUCACAUUUACACCCCCUCCUUUCCUUGGUCACGUGAUCCAUCACGGACUUGAUUCAUAGAAAGAGGCGGGGCGUCUGGACGAGAGGCGGAGUCUUACUUAAAAGGGCAACUUCUGAAUUAACCAGCCCAGCUGUUCCCAAGAGAGCAGCUUUUCAGGAACGAAGAGACCAUACCAACUACAUGGGCAGACCUUAAGCACUAUGACAUCAGCCAAAUACCUUGGGGUCGACAUCAGCAGAGACCUCAAAUGGAAUGGACACGUCACAAAGUCUGCAAACUCCACCUUGGCCUUCCUACGCAGGAAUAUCAGGACCUCAAACACUGCCAUCAAAAUACAGGCGUUUCAUACGCUUGUCCGCCCAAAGCUGGAAUACUCAUACUCAGUCUGGGACCCUCACUACCAGCAAGAUAUUUAUCGCAUUGAGAUGGUUCAGAGAAGGGCAGCCAGAUGGGUAACCUCACAGUACCAUAACAUUUCCAGCGUAUCCAAGAUGAUCGAAUCCCUUGGAUGGCAAACGCUACAGACCAGAAGAAAACAUGUCAGGCUAAUUCUCAUCUCAUCUCAUUAUCUCUAGCCGCUUUAUCCUUCUACAGGGUCGCAGGCAAGCUGGAGCCUAUCCCAGCUGACUACGGGCGAAAGGUGGGGUACACCCUGGACAAGUCGCCAGGUCAUCACAGGGCUGACACAAAGACACAGACAACCAUUCACACUCACAUUCACACCUACGGUCAAUUUAGAGUCACCAGUUAACCUAACCUGCAUGUCUUUGGACUGUGGGGGAAACCGGAGCACCCGGAGGAAACCCACACGGACACGGGGAGAACAUGCAAACUCCGCACAGAAAGGCCCUCGCCGGCCACGGGGCUCGAACCCGGACCUUCUUGCUGUGAGGCGACAGCGCUAACCACUACACCACCGUGCCGCCCCAGGCUAAUUCUUCUGUACAAAAUCUUAAGCAACAGUGCUGUGGUCGAUAUCCACCCAGAGCCACUAAAACGCCAGUCCAGAACAACUAAUUCAAGAUCACUCAGGCAAAUUCAAGUUACAUCUGAUGCUCACAAAUUCUCUUUCCUUCCCAGAACAGUUGUUGAGUGGAACCAGCUGCCGGAGGCCGUUGUCACAGCACCAUCUGUCGAGGCUUUCCAGGAGGCACUGAACUCCAUCCAUGAGGCUGCCACGCUUUUAUUGAUUUUAUCUGUACAAAUUUGUUUUUUAAGUCAAUAAAUUUUUAUUCUGCA